GACGAACGCUGGCGGCGUGCUUAACACAUGCAAGUCGAGCGGUAAGGCCCUUUCGGGGGUACGACGAGCGGCGAACGGGUAGAGUAACACGUGGGUGGACCUCGCCCUCAGCUCUGGGAGUAAGCCUGGGAAACCGGGGUACUAAUACCGGAUAUGACUCCAUGACGCAUGUUGUGGGGUGGAAAGCCUUGUGCGGCUGAGGAUGGGCCCGCGGCCUAUCAGCUUGUUGGUGGGGUGAUGGCCUACCAAGGCGACGACGGGUAGCCGGCCUGAGAGGGCGACCGGCCACACUGGGGACUGAGACACGGCCCAGACUCCUACGGGAGGCAGCAGUGGGGAAUCUUGCGCAAUGGGCGAAAGCCUGACGCAGCGACGCCGCGUGAGGGAUGAC
rnacentral:rRNA from 1 species